rnacentral:rRNA from 1 species
AACGAACGCUGGCGGCAUGCCUAACACAUGCAAGUCGAACGAGACCUUCGGGUCUAGUGGCGCACGGGUGCGUCACGCGUGGGAACCUGCCCUUAGGUUCGGAAUAACUCCCCGAAAGGGGUGCUAAUACCGGAUAAUUUCUUCGGACCAAAGAUUUAUCGCCUUUGGAUGGGCCCGCGUUGGAUUAGCUAGUUGGUAGGGUAAAAGCCUACCAAGGCGACGAUCCAUAGCUGGUCUGAGAGGAUGAUCAGCCACACUGGGACUGAGACACGGCCCAGACUCCUACGGGAGGCAGCAGUGGGGAAUAUUGGACAAUGGGCGAAAGCCUGAACCAGCAAUGCCGCGUGAGUGAUGAAGGCCGUAGGGUUGUAAAGCUCUUUUACCCGGGAUGAUAAUGACAGUACCGGGAGAAUAAGCUCCGGCUAACUCCGUG